CAGGAGUCAUUUUGUCGCUUUCCUUUAGCAUCUCGCGUUGCAGCCUACUCACUAGCAUUCCUCUAUUCAUUUUCAGAUUCACUGAAAGUCCUUCUGAAUCCUCUGCCAUUUAUUCUACCCAACUGACCGAUCUUCGGAAUUCCUCUGCUGGUCAUUUGAACCCUCAACUGGUUUAUAAUGAUUUGUAUGGUUGGCCAAGAAAACUAUGAAGGAAACAACUGCAUAUCCCAGCUGAAUUCAUUUCUCUGCUUCUUUUCUUACUUUUUCACUUCUGCUAUUCCUAUUAUAAAGUUAUUGCUUCCAAUUUCCCA